CUUGGUGGCAGUGAUGACAUUGAUAAUCCCAGCUCUAUGAGAUCUUCAAUUUGAAGAUCCAGGAAUAGAAGUAAUCAAUUUCUUUCUGAGCCUUUAA
rnacentral:snoRNA from 1 species